rnacentral:rRNA from 1 species
UACGGAGGGUGCAAGCGUUGCUCGGAAUUACUGGGCGUAAAGCGUACGCAGGCGGCACGACAAGUCGGGUGUGAAAGCCCUGGGCUCAACCCAGGAACGGCAUCCGAAACGGUCGCGCUAGAGUUCGGGAGAGGGAAGUGGAAUUCCUGGUGUAGAGGUGAAAUUCGUUGAUAUCAGGAGGAACACCGGCGGCGAAAGCGGCUUCCUGGCCCGAUACUGACGCUCAUGUACGAAAGCGUGGGGAGCAAACAGG